GCCUGAGUGGCUUAGUCGGCUAAGCAUCCGACUUCAGCUCAGAUCAUGAUCUCAUAGUUUGUGGGUUCGAGCCCAACAUCGGGCU
rnacentral:tRNA from 1 species